rnacentral:rRNA from 1 species
UACAGAGGGUGCGAGCGUUAAUCGGAAUUACUGGGCGUAAGGCGUGCGUAGACGGUUUCGUAAGUCGGGUGUGAAAUCCCCGGGCUCAACCUGGGAAUUGCAUUCGAAACUGCGAGGCUAGGGUACGGAAGAGGGAAGCGGAAUUUCUGGUGUAGCGGUGAAAUGCGUAGAUAUCAGAAGGAACAUCAGUGGCGAAAGCGGCUUCCUGGUCCAGUACCGACGUUCAGGCACGAAAGCGUGGGGAGCAAACAGG